UACAGCCACAUCAUUUUGAAACACUGGUUCUCGUGCGAUCACCGAAGUUAAGCAACGUCGAGUUUGGUUAGUAUCCAGAUGUGUGACCGCUUUGGAAUACCAAGUGUUGCAA